rnacentral:tRNA from 1 species
GCCGGGGUGUUGGAACGGUAGACAAUAGGGGCUUAAAACCCCUUGUCCCGAAAGGGGCGUGUGGGUUCGACUCCCACCCCCGGCA